AUGCUGCCUACCUGCGACAUUUGUGGGAACGGGGAGGAGGAUGAUUAUCAUCCUGUCAUCACAUGCACUAAGAGCAGGGCGUUGAGAAAUGCCAUGAAGGAGGUAUGGGAUCUGCCGGCUGAGAAAGCCUUUUGGUACACUGGCACUGACUGCCUGCAAGUAUUACUGGACGCUGUGGCAGAGGAAAUGCGUGCUAAACUGAUGCUUUUACUGUGGAGAUGCUGGCACCUGAGGGAGGAUUGCUUGCGUAAUGAUGGCAGAGAAACAAUCAGGGGGUCGUUCAGUUUCUGCUGUGAUACCACAUACGAGGAAGAAUUAAAAGCUCCAUCUCAGUGGAACGAAUCUGAAGCCGGAAAAUGUAUGGGAGUCAUGGUUGCCCAGCAGGCCUAUCCGCCAGUGGCGCAGACCAUGCACUGGUCGGCCCCAGCUAGAGGGACAGUAAAAUUAAACUCCGAUGCAGCUUUUCUGUGCAAAUACUGGGAUUAG
rnacentral:rRNA from 1 species